rnacentral:misc_RNA from 1 species
GACUGCAGCGUGUUCGCGCUCAUGAAGAACUCGAUUUUGCCGGCGAUCAACUGGAUGCGGUUGUUGACGUUGGGGCCACCGGGAACGAUGGUGACAUCAAGGCCGUAACGCGCGUAGGUGCCGUCCGCCACGGCCUGAUAGAACCCGCCGUGUUCGGCCUGCGCGACCCAGUUGGUGCCGAACGACACCUUGUCCAGUCCGCCGGGCGCCUGCGCAUGUGCGGGCCCGGCAGCGAGCGCCAUCCCGACGAGAAACGCGCGCAGCAAGUGGCUGGGUGGCAUCAUUGGACUCCGUUGAGCGUUUUGC